rnacentral:rRNA from 1 species
UGGGAAGUAUUGCAUCAAUGGGCAGGCAAGCCAUGACUGCAGCCAUGCCGCGCUGUAUGAAGAAGGCCAAUUCGGGGCUUUGGUUAAAGAUACUUUUCAGCGAGGAGGAAGGCGUUGUGGUUAAUAACCGCAGCGAUUGACGUUACUCGCAGAAGAAGCACCGGCUAACUCCGUGCCAGCAGCCGCGGUAAUACGGAGGGUGCAAGCGUUAAUCGGAAUUACUGGGCGUAAAGCGCACGCAGGCGGUCUGUCAAGUCGGAUGUGAAAUCCCCGGGCUCAACCUGGGAACUGCAUCCGAAACUGGCAGGCUAGAGUCUUGUAGA